AAAAAAAAUGGACUUGAAUUAGUCAAGUAUAAUUUGUUGGCUUAAAUCGGCCAGCAUCCUGCCAUGUGGUGGGAGGCCAUGUGGGCCUAGCCAUGCUCGAAAUGGCGUGAGGCUGGGUUGGGCCGAGUCAUAUUCGAAGUGGCGUGGGGUUGGGUGGGCCGAGUCACAAUUGAGACCCGUGAGCGUUGUAUCUGUAUGCUUUAAGUGAAUUGAUUGCGUAUUUCUAAUAGCUCGAACUUUUGGGAUUAAUAGUUAGCGCCAACGGUCCGAUAUAAUUGACUUUUCAAGCUCUAAACUAUA
rnacentral:lncRNA from 1 species